CUGAGAGGAGCUGGGGAGGACUGCGGGUCCCAGGUCGCCUCCUCUGGGGAGUAGCGGACUGCUGUCCAGACCAACUCCUGUCUGGCUAGAGGAGGGGAGACGUGUGGUGCGUGUGCUCGGCCUCACGUGGACGAUCUUCACUGGGCAGAACUGUGGUUUCCUUCAGUGGGGUGUGGUUUGCGGGUUAAGGGAGGAAGGAUGUGCUGCGAAGUGAGACCUCCUGGAUGCUGGCCAAAGAACUUGUCAGAAGAGCUUUAAAUCUGGUGAUAGUUUUUACUUCGGGACUAGGAAGAGUGUAUUCUAGACUACGCGCGUUCUCAAAAUGUUCAGUCUCAGGAUUUAAAAGAACAACCUGAACGCCAAGGUUAAGGAUCUAACCUGGAUCAUACAUGUCAGAAGAGUAUAAAACGACUCAGCCACCACAACUCCCAUGUACAUUACUUGCCAGGAGGGACGUGAUGCAUGAUAAGUGCAGAUUUCACCCUUCAUCAAAGAAGCUUCUCUUUGCAGCAGACUGAUUUAAAGACAAGCUCUCACUGCAUAGUCCAGACUGGACUUAAAACUUUUUCCUUCUAUCCUAGCCUUCCAGGUGGGUCUCGUGUAUCCCGAAUGGCCUCUGCCUUAAUGUAUUGCUAGCGAUGUCCUUGAACUCCUCAUCUCCUGCACCAGCCUCCCAAGUCUCUGGAUUACAGGAAUGU